GACGAACGCUGGCGGCGUGCCUAAUACAUGCAAGUCGAACGCUUCUUUCCUCCCGAGUGCUUGCACUCAAUUGGAAAGAGGAGUGGCGGACGGGUGAGUAACACGUGGGUAACCUACCCAUCAGAGGGGGAUGACACUUGGAAACAGGUGCUAAUACCGCAUAACAGUUUAUGCCGCAUGGCAUAAGAGUGAAAGGCGCUUUCGGGUGUCGCUGAUGGAUGGACCCGCGGUGCAUUAGCUAGUUGGUGAGGUAACGGCUCACCAAGGCCACGAUGCAUAGCCGACCUGAGAGGGUGAUCGGCCACACUGGGACUGAGACACGGCCCAGACUCCUACGGGAGGCAGCAGUAGGGAAUCUUCGGCAAUGGACGAAAGUCUGACCGAGCAACGCCGCGUGAGUGAAGAGGGUUUUCGGGUCGUAAAACUCUGUUGUUAGAGAAGAACAAGGACGUUAGUAACUGAACGUCCCCUGACGGUAUCUAACCAGAAAGCCACGGCUAACUACGUG
rnacentral:rRNA from 1 species